GCUCACUUCGGCUGCACAUAUACUAAAAUUGGAAUGAUACAGAGAAGAUUAGCAUGGCCCUUGUGCAUGGAGGGCAUGCAAAUUCGUGAAGCGUUCCAUGUUAAU